AACACUGACUUGAGCGUCGGAGUGACUUUUGCAGGUACUCACCCCCUUUCCAUCGUUCGAUUCCGGGAACGUAAUCCGGAGUUCUCUUUCGACUAAGGAAGCGUGCGGACUUCAGUCAAGAACCUGUGGAGGAAGAGAUGUUUUGGCUGAGGGAAGGCGAUUGGAACACUAAGUUUUUUCAUCUUUCUACUGUCAUCAGAAGGAGAAGGAAUAAAUUGGAAGGGUUGAAUAAUGAUGAUGGAGUGUGGGUGACUGAGAAAAAUGGUAUGAAGCAGAUUGUUUGUGAUUAUUUUCAAGGGUUGUUUAAUGUUUCUGUUUCAGCUGGUGAGUAUUCUUCGCUUCCUCAAUUGUUUCCUCAACUUGGUUGUGAUGAUUUAGCUGGUUUAAGUGGCACUGUCACUGAAUUAGAAAUUAAACAUAGUUUGUUUGCUAUUGGAGGUCUUAAAACCCCUGGGCCAGUUGGUUUCCCUGCUAUUUUUUAGCAGAAUUUUUGGGAUCUUUGUUCUAGUGAUAUCAUCUCAGUUGUUAAGGAUUGUUUUAUAACUGCUUCUCUUCCUGAGCAUCUCAAUGAUACCUUGAUUGCUUUGGUUCCUAAGGUUGAGAGGCCUACUUCUAUGCCUUAAUUAAGGCUUAUCAGUCUGUGUAACACUCUUUACAAAGUGGUUUCUAAGAUCCUUGUUGCAAGACUUAGACCUCUUAUGUCUAAGCUUGUUAGUCCCACUCAAGUGAGUUUUGUGCCAGGCAGAUAUAUUACUGAUAAUAUUGUUGUGGCUCAGGAAAUGUUGCAUAAAUUUAAAAUUUCGAAAGGGAAAAAAGGGUUUGUUGCUUGGAAAAUUGAUCUAUCCAAGGCUUAUGAUCGUCUGAGCUGGAAUUUUAUUAGGGAAGUGUUUUGGGAAGUUGGCAUUAGAGGCAGGAUUCUUGAGCUUCUUAUGAUUUGUAUUAGUUCUGUCCAGUAUAAAGCUGUUCUGAAUGGUGAGUUAACGGAGGCAUUUGUUCCUAAAUGUGGGAUUAGGCAGGGUGAUCCUCUUUCCCCUUAUAUUUUUGUCUUGUGCAUGGAGAAACUUUCUCAUCUUAUUCAGCAAAGAGUUCAGGAUAAAAUCUGGAAGCUUGUUCAGAUUUAUCAAGAGGGUCCUAUGGUGUCGCAUUUAUUCUUUGCCGAUGAUAUGAUCCUUUUUGGUUAAGCUUCUGUUACUCAAGUUAAGGUUAUGAAGCAGUGCUUAGAUGACUUUUGUAAUCUCUCUGGUCAAAGGGUUAGUUUUGAGAAAUCUGUGAUUUGUGUUUCUCCAAAUACUUGCUAUGAUUUAGGUCGCCAAGUGGCUUCUAUUAGUGGUUCUCCUCUUAUUGAUUGUCUUGGUAAAUACCUUGGAGUUCCUUUGAUUCAUAAAAGAGUUACUAAGGCUACUUAUUUUGAGAUCGUUGAUAAGGUUCAAAGAAGGUUGUUUGCGUGGAAGAGUCAUACUCUUUCUAUGGCUGGUAGGAUCACUUUGAUGCAGUAAGUUACCUCUGCCAUUCCCAUUUAUUCAAUGCAAACUGCUCAAUUUCCUGUCUCUAUUUGUGAUAAACUUGAUCAGUUAAAUAUGAAUUUUCUUUGGGGCCAUACUGCAAAUAAGAAUAAGGUUCAUCUUGUUAAUUGGGAUACUUUUUGUCAAGCUAAGUCUGUUGGUGGUUUGGGAAUCAAGAAAACUGCCUGGAUGAAUCAAGCUUUAUUGGCUAAGACUGGUUGGAGAUUGCUUCAGAAUGAUCAAGGCCUUUGGUCUCAGGUUUUGAAUGCUAAGUAUUUGAGGCAGUAUGAUCUUCUUGCUGCUAAGGAUCUUCAUUUAAGUUGCAGUUCUAGUGUUUGGAGGGGUGUUUUAUAUGGUGCUAAGCUAAGCUUCUCCCUCAUGGUCUUCAAUGGAGGGUAGGUUCUGGUGAUAAUAUUUUAUUUUGGACUGAUUCUUGGUUAAGCUGUGGUCCUUUGCAGAGUCAUGCUCUAAUUGAUUUAUCUGAGGAAAUGCUCCAACUUAACGUAAGUGAUUUUUUGGAAGAUGGUUGUUGGGAUAUGAAUUGUUUGCAGGAAUGUUUGCCUGAUGAGAUUGUCCAGAUGAUUUUAAGCAUUCAUUCUGGUUUUUUUGGGAGUGGUCUGGAUAAAAGAAUUUGGAAGUGCACUCCAAAUGGUGAUUUCUCCAUUAAGUUAGUUUAUAAUACCAUUUUUCUUGAAGGGAAUGUUCUGUCGUGGCAGCGGGCUUUUCUUUGGAAGCUUAAAAUUCCUCCUAAGAUUAAAACCUUUCUUUGGCUGUUGUGCCAUAAGAAGUUGCUUACCAUUUAUCAAAGGCAGAAAAGGGGCCUUACUUCCUGUGCUCCUUGUCCCAGGUGCAUUUAUCCUAUAGAAUCUAUUGAGCAUUUAGUUAUAGGUUGUUGUUGCUCUAUGGAUAUUUGAAGUGGCUUAGGGUUUAGUGAUAAGUUGGUUAACUGCCAUGUGGGUGAUUUUGAUGUUUGGCUUUUGCACAAUCUGCAGUCUAAACAAGUUGUUUGUGAUAAUUUGCCUUGGUCCUUAGUUUUUGCUGUUUGUCUCUGUUUCAUCUGGAAGUGGCGCUGUAAAGUUGUUUUUGAGGCUGGGUUUGUUAUGCCUUCUGAGCCU